AUAACUAAAUAACAUGGGGUUGGAGAUGCUGAUGAAUAUGUUUGGCGGACUCGGAGCUGGCGGUUUGUCCAUCCCAAGCAAUCCUAAUGUGCCCCCGGAAGAACUUUAUGCAACUCAAUUAUCACAGCUUCAAGAGAUGGGUUUCUUUGACACCCAAGA